GGGUCAGUAGGCUGGUCGUGCCACCGGUACGUACUGGUCUCACUGAUCCCUCCUUCCUGAAGAACCGUAAUGCCAUUAAUUUGGUGUUGCGGGGAAGCAGGACUGUUACUUUGAAAAAAUUAGAGUGUUUAAAGCAAGCUAACGCUUGAAUACAUUAGCAUGGAGUAAUGAAAUAGGACGAUCGAUCCUAUUUUGUUGGUUUCUAGGAUUGACGUA
rnacentral:rRNA from 1 species